rnacentral:rRNA from 1 species
GAUGAACGCUGGCGGCGUGCCUAAUACAUGCAAGUCGAGCGAACGGACGAGAAGCUUGCUUCUCUGAUGUUAGCGGCGGACGGGUGAGUAACACGUGGAUAACCUACCUAUAAGACUGGGAUAACUUCGGGAAACCGGAGCUAAUACCGGAUGAUAUUUUGAACCGCAUGGUUCAAAAGUGAAAGACGGUCUUGCUGUCACUUAUAGAUGGAUCCGCGCUGCAUUAGCUAGUUGGUAAGGUAACGGCUUACCAAGGCAACGAUGCAUAGCCGACCUGAGAGAGUGAUCGGCCACACUGGAACUGAGACGCGGUCCAGACUCCUGCGGGAGGCAGCAGUAGGGAAUCUUCCGCAAUAGGCGAAAGCCUGACGGAGCAACGCCGCGUGAGUGAUGAAGGUCUUCGGAUCGUAAAACUCUGUUAUUAGGGAAGAACAUAUGUGUAAGUAACUGUGCACAUCUUGACGGUACCUAAUCAGAAAGCCACGGCUAACUACGUG